CUAGAAUUCUCUUCAUUUCUCUUCAUAUUCAUCAGCUGAAAAACAGCCAUGGAGGAGGGUUCAAGCUGGUUUUCAUACUCUAGCUUCAUAUUUUUCGGAUGGUUAGGCAAUCGAAUCAAUACUCAAGUCACACUAUACAACUUAUCUCGGUACGUAGUUUUUGAAACGUUAAAUAUGGUUUAUAUGACGUGUAUAGGCUUUUGUACGGUCUUGAUCAAAGUUUAAUUUAUGUAAAUAUUAUAAAUAAUAUUUUAUUUAUAUAAUUAACCUACAUAUUGGUAAGAGAUUAAGGUAUAAUUGUGAUGUUAGUAUAAGUGAGAUAUGUAUGUAUGUAUUUGAUUAUAGUGAACUUUGGCAACUUGGUUAGGUAAAUUAAUUAGGUAAGUUUGAAUAUUUGGUGGACAUAAUUUUAAGUUGUCAUUUGAGGUACCUAUGGGUAUAUUAGUUGUAUGUGGUAAUAAUACAUGUUUAAGACUUGAUUUUAACUUAUGUUGAAUGCCUUGUUAUGGCUUGUUGAUGUAUAAA